UUGAAAGGGAAACGAUUGAAGUCAGUCAUGCUGGUGGGAAUCAACUUAGGGGAAACUCUAGGUGCACUUCUUCGCUUGGCAGGUUAACGUCGAUCUUGAAUGCCAUAAAAUAAUUGGGGGAAGGUAGCUCCUUCGGGAGUGUUAUAGCCCUUGAUAGAUGUGAUGUUUGGGGUCGAGGAUUGCAACGGAUACCCUUUGGGGCUAGCCGCCUGAUCUCUAAUCGGUGUUGGGUCACGGAUAGCAUGCUGACCGUGAUCUAAUUACUGGUUAAAAGGUUAGAGCGUGCAUAAAUUCGUUAAGGAUGUUGACGUA
rnacentral:rRNA from 1 species